rnacentral:rRNA from 1 species
ACACCUACGGGAGGCUGCAGUCUAGAAAUUUGGGCAAUGGGCGAAAGCCUGACCCAGCGACGCCGCGUGGGGGAUGAAGCUUCUCGGAGUGUAAACCCCUGUUAGGUGGGACGAAAGCCCGUAUACGAAUAGUAGGCGGGUUUGACGGUACCACCAGAGGAAGCUCCGGCUAACUCCGUGCCAGCAGCCGCGGUAAUACGGGGGGAGCAAGCGUUGUUCGGAGUUAUUGGGCGUAAAGGGCGUACAGGCGGUGGUGUAAGUCAGAUGUGAAAUCCCCCGGCUCAACCGGGGACCUGCAUUUGAUACUGCAUCACUUGAGUACAGGAGAGGAGAGCGGAAUUUUCGGUGUAGCGGUGGAAUGUGUAGAUAUCGAAAAGAACACCAGUGGCGAAGGCGGCUCCCUGGCCUGAUACUGACGCUGACGCGCGAAAGCUAGGGGAGCAAACAGGAUUAGAUACCCUGGUAGUCCUAGCCGUAAACGUUGGGCACUAGGUGUUGGAGGUAUCGACCCCUUCAGUGCCGAAGCUAACGCAUUAAGUGCCCCGCCUGGGGAGUACGGCCGCAAGGCUGAAACUCAAAGGAAUUGACGGGGGCCUGCACAAGCGGUGGAGCAUGUGGUUUAAUUCGAGGCAACGCGAAGAACCUUACCUGGUCUUGACAUGUACCUGAAAGCCCUGGAGACAGGGCCCCUCUUCGGAGCGGGUACACAGGUGCUGCAUGGCUGUCGUCAGCUCGUGUCGUGAGAU